UCUUCUUUCUUCUUCUUCUUUUUGUUCUUCUUCUCUCAUCUGUGCAAGAAAAACCCACCAACCUCCCAAAUAAACCCACCAACCUCCAAAUUUAAACCCACCAUUCUCCACCCUCUCUUUCAUUUUCAAGAUUUUGUGCUGAUUGAUUGUUACUCGUCGUCAACAACAAUUCCAAGAUCAUCAACGAUUUUUAGGCUACAGUUCAAAAUCGUUACAGAUCCAUGUCUGUUCCAAAUCUAUAUAGCGAAGACAAUCAUUGAUUCGGUACGACGGCUAUGGUUUUCUCAGGAUGAAGGUCUGGUCAAAAUCGUUCCAGAUCUAUGUUCGUCCCAGAAUCCAACUUCCGGAUGAAGGUCCAGCAAGAUCAGAGAGACCCAACAACAUGAAAACUCUAGAUGAUGAAAACUUCAAUUACAAGAAAAAAAGAUUCAAGUAUAUAUUAUUUAGAGGAUGGAGAAGCUCUUUCGUCAUGGUCAAGAGGAAGAUCAAAUAGAUAUGCCUUCAACUUUUUUAGUAAAAAUGAUAAGUGGCUUUACCUAUUUUUCCUUUACAUGUUAUCUGAUAUACACCCUUCUCAAGUGAAUGGAUGUUUUGUGUUCAAGAUGAAGAUGGUUAUCAAGAAGCAAAUCAUAGAUGAUCAACUACAGCCCCUCGCUACUACGUUUAUGAGACCUCACAAAGAACCAAGCCACGAAAUACAAGACACCUAUUGUUGACAAGUAAUUCCAUCCUAGACACCUAUUGUUGAUAAGCAGUGCCAUCCUCUUCUUGCCAUGUAUAAAACUUUCGAUGAUCAAGCAGGUUUUUCAGACAAAAAGGCGCAAAACAAAUUUGUGAUCUUUUACAUGUCUAGACGAUGUAAUAGAAUCAGUUAUUUUGAAGUGUUUGCACCCUUAUAAAUUUCCCUCUUUCCAUCUGUUUAUGUCUUAUAUUAGGAAGCAUCAGUUUUACUGUUUUCUUUCAUUGUAUAUUAGGAAUCUACACGUAACACAAGUUACAUUUGAAGUGUUUGUACCCUUAUAAAUUUUCCUUUUCCAUC